rnacentral:rRNA from 1 species
GAUGGACGCUGGCGGCGUGCUUAACACAUGCCAGUCGAACGGAAAGGCUCCUGCUUGCAGGGGUACUCGAGUGGCGAACGGGUGAGUAACACGUGGGUGAUCUGCCCUGCACUUCGGGAUAAGCCUGGGAAACUGGGUCUAAUACCGGAUAGGACCACAUUUUGGAUGGUGUGGUGGAAAGUUUUUCGGUGUGGGAUGAGCUCGCGGCCUAUCAGCUUGUUGGUGGGGUAAUGGCCUACCAAGGCGUCGACGGGUAGCCGGCCUGAGAGGGUGUACGGCCACAUUGGGACUGAGAUACGGCCCAGACUCCUACGGGAGGCAGCAGUGGGGAAUAUUGCACAAUGGGCGCAAGCCUGAUGCAGCGACGCCGCGUGGGGGAUGACGGCCUUCGGGUUGUAAACUCCUUUCGCUAGGGACGAAGCGCAAGUGACGGUACCUGGAGAAGAAGCACCGGCUAACUACGUG